UACAGAGGGUGCGAGCGUUGUUCGGAAUUAUUGGGCGUAAAGGGCGCGUAGGCGGUGCGGUAAGUCACCUGUGAAAUCUCCUGGCUCAACUGGGAGCUUGCAGGCGAAACUGCCGUGCUGGAGUGUGGGAGAGGGGCGUGGAAUUCCUGGUGUAGCGGUGAAAUGCGUAGAUAUCAGGAGGAACACCUGUGGCGAAAGCGGGGCGCUGGACCGCAACUGACGCUGAGGCGCGAAAGCUAGGGGAGCAAACAGG
rnacentral:rRNA from 1 species